AUUCCUUAGUACGGCGAGUGACCGGGAUGAGCUCAAAUUUGAAAUCUGGCGUCUUUCAGGCGUCCGAGUUGUAAUCUAUAGAGGCGUUUUCCGCGCCGGACCGCGUCCAAGUCUCUUGGAAUAGAGUAUCAAAGAGGGUGACAAUCCCGUACUUGACGCGACAACCGGUGCUCUGUGAUACGUUCUCAACGAGUCGAGUUGUUUGGGAAUGCAGCUCUAAAUGGGUGGUAAAUUCCAUCUAAGGCUAAAUAUUGGCGAGAGACCGAUAGCGAACAAGUACCGUGAGGGAAAGAUGAAAAGCACUUUGGAAAGAGAGUUAAACAGCACGUGAAAUUGUUAAAAGGGAAACGAUUGAAGUCAGUCGUGUGAAAGGUAUUCAGCCGUCUCUGGCGGUGUAUUUGCCUUUCACGGGUCAACAUCAGUUUAGUCCGGUAGAAAAAGGCUGGAGGAAGGUGGCACCCUCGGGUGUGUUAUAGCCUCCUGUCAUAUGUGCCGGAUUAGACUGAGGAACGCAGCUUGCAGCAAUGCCGGGGUUCGCCCACGUACAAGCUUAGGAUGUUGACAUAAUGGCUUUAAACGACCCGUCUUGAAACACAGACCU
rnacentral:rRNA from 1 species